rnacentral:rRNA from 1 species
UACGUAGGGGGCAAGCGUUGUCCGGAUUUAUUGGGCGUAAAGAGCGUGUAGGCGGCUGGGUAGGUCCGUUGUGAAAACUCGAGGCUCAACCUCGAGACGCCGAUGGAAACCAUCCAGCUAGAGUCCGGAAGAGGAGAGUGGAAUUCCUGGUGUAGCGGUGAAAUGCGCAGAUAUCAGGAAGAACACCCGUGGCGAAGGCGGCUCUCUGGGACGGUACUGACGCUGAGACGCGAAAGCGUGGGGAGCGAACAGG